UACGUAGGGUGCAAGCGUUGUCCGGAAUUAUUGGGCGUAAAGAGCUCGUAGGCGGUCUGUCGCGUCUGCUGUGAAAACUCAGGGCUUAACCCUGAGCUUGCAGUGGGUACGGGCAGACUAGAGUGCGGUAGGGGAGACUGGAAUUCCUGGUGUAGCGGUGAAAUGCGCAGAUAUCAGGAGGAACACCGGUGGCGAAAGCGGGUCUCUGGGCCGUAACUGACGCUGGAGGAGCGGAAAGCAUCGGGGAGCGAACAGG
rnacentral:rRNA from 1 species